AACCUCACUCUCAAGAGUUUUUUCUUUUGAGACGUGGAUUUGGGUGUUGCAAUCUGCUCACCUUGAAUAUCUUAGUGGUUCUGAACCGCAGCCUGAUGUAAUAAGUUUCAUUGGGUCAUGGAGAAGACUGCUUCUAAUCGCUUUUUCAAAAGCAAUUUUUUAAG
rnacentral:misc_RNA from 1 species